GGGGGACAGGACAUGGGAAACAUUGGUAAAGGGGGGACAGGACAUGGGAAACAUUGGUAAAGGGGGGGACAGGACAUGGGAAACAUUGGUAAAGGGGGGGACAGGACAUGGGGUCUGGGAAACAUUGGUAAAGGGGGGAACAGGACUUGGGGUCUGGGAAACACCGUAGCAGCUCCUAAACAAGGAGGAAAAACAACCAAUGAGACAAAAUACAAAGAAACAACAAAAAUACAUUUUUCAGCUAAAUUCUGAUAGUACCUCUCCCCACCCGUUUAAAUGUUUUUGUCCCAUUUGAGCGAACAUGGUCCAGGUCACAGCUCAACCCGUUGUUCAGUCCGUUGCAUCAGGGGCAUAGUUCAGGUGUUGGGUACGUCGAGGCCUGGGCAGAGAAAGCACUGAACCGUCUGCGUUCAGUAGAUAUAGACUUCUAUGUCCAGGCUGUUUAAUAUCAGUAGUCAGUACACUUGGGUUGUGGCCAGAGGCAGGGAGGACCAGGCUCCGGUCGGGAUUCUUGAGAAGCAUCACCACAAAACCACACUAGAUGAAAAAAAACACAGUCUUCAUCCCCUGUCACCUGUUUGUCCUCGGUGCCUGAAGUGUUCAAGUCCUGGACUUAAACUCAGAACGUCAUUUUCUCCCCCUUGUCCCGUCUGUCCUUGGGUGUCCUAGACAAGUCCUGUUUAAAACGUCCGACCACAACACGGUGUCUUCAGAUUGUGCCAGACAGAAAAGGAGCUCGUUAUAAAAAAAAAGCAAACGGACCCUGUUCACAUCCUCAUGCAGACAUUGAACAGCAGGUUAAGACUGCACCAGUACGCAGAACAAGUUAAUAGAUGUACAAUAUGUAUCCAGUGUGGCUGACUGACUGGCUGGCUGGUUGACUGGCUGGCUGGCUGACUGGCUAGCUGACUGACUGGCUGGCUGGCUGGCUGGCUGACUGGCUGGCUGACUGGCUGGCUAGCUGACUGGCUGGCUGGCUGGCUGACUGGCUGGCUAGCUGACUGGCUGGCUGGCUGGCUAACUGGCCGGCUGGCAAGCUGGCUGGCUGACUGAAUGGCUGACUGGGGCUCAUGGCAGAACAGGGCAGGCUAGUCUCUCUGUGUGGAGGACUGAUCCAUAUUCAGCCCUAGUCUCUCUGUGUGGACUGACCCAUAUUCAGCCCUAGUCUCUCUGUGUGGAGGACUGAUCCAUAUUCAGCCCUAGUCUCUCUGUGUGGACUGACCCAUAUUCAGCCCUAGUCUCUCUGUGUGGAGGACUGACCCAUAUUCAGCCCUAGUCUCUCUGUGAGGACAGACCCAUAUUCAGCCCUAGUCUCUCUGUGAGGACAGACCCAUAUUCAGCCCUAGUCUCUCUGUGUGGACAGACCCAUAUUCAGCCCUAGUCUCUCUGUGAGGACAGACCCAUAUUCAGCCCCAGUCUCUCUGUGUGGAGGACUGACCCAUAUUCAGCCCUAGUCUCUCUGUGAGGACAGACCCAUAUUCAGCCCUAGUCUCUCUGUGAGGACUGACCCAUAUUCAGCCCUAGUCUCUCUGUGUGGAGGACUGACCCAUAUUCAGCCCUAGUCUCUCUGUGAGGACAGACCCAUAUUCAGCCCCAGUCUCUCUGUGUGGAGGACUGACCCAUAUUCAGCCCUAGUCUCUCUGUGUGGACAGACCCAUAUUCAGCCCUAGUCUCUCUGUGAGGACAGACCCAUAUUCAGCCCCAGUCUCUCUGUGUGGAGGACUGACCCAUAUUCAGCCCUAGUCUCUCUGUGUGGACAGACCCAUAUUCAGCCCUAGUCUCUCUGUGAGGACUGACCCAUAUUCAGCCCUAGUCUCUCUGUGUGGAGGACUGACCCAUAUUCAGCCCUAGUCUCUCUGUGAGGACUGACCCAUAUUCAGCCCCAGUCUCUCUGUGUGGAGGACUGACCCAUAUUCAGCCCUAGUCUCUCUGUGUGGACAGACCCAUAUUCAGCCCCAGUCUCUCUGUGUGGACAGACCCAUAUUCAGCCCCAGUCUCUCUGUGAGGACAGACCCAUAUUCAGCCCUAGUCUCUCUGUGUGGACAGACCCAUAUUCAGCCCUAGUCUCUCUGUGUGGAGGACUGACCCAUAUUCAGCCCUAGUCUCUCUGUGUGGACAGACCCAUAUUCAGCCCUAGUCUCUCUGUGUGGACAGACCCAUAUUCAGCCCUAGUCUCUCUGUGUGGACAGACCCAUAUUCAGCCCUAGUCUCUCUGUGUGGACAGACCCAUAUUCAGCCCUAGUCUCUCUGUGUGGACUGACCCAUAUUCAGCCCUAGUCUCUCUGUGUGGACAGACCCAUAUUCAGCCCUAGUCUCUCUGUGAGGACUGACCCAUAUUCAGCCCUAGUCUCUCUGUGUGG
rnacentral:lncRNA from 1 species